rnacentral:tRNA from 1 species
GGGCCCGUAGCUUAGCCUGGUUGGAGCGCCCGGCUGAUAACCGGGAGGCCCCGGGUUCGAAUCCCGGCGGGCCCA